rnacentral:rRNA from 1 species
UGAGAAACCUGCCCUGGACUUGGGAAUAACAGUCGGAAACGUCUGCUAAUACCGAAUACCUUCGUAGCGUCGCAUGGCGCAUCGAAGAAAGCUUUUGCGGUCUGGGAGGGUCUCGCGGCCUACCAGCUAGUUGGUGAGGUAACGGCUCACCGAGGCAUCGACGGGUAGCUGGUCUGAGAGGAUGGCCAGCCACAUUGGGACUGAGACACGGCCCAGACCUCCGUACGGGAGCAG